rnacentral:tRNA from 1 species
GCUGGAGUAGCUCCAACGGCAGAGCAACUGACUCGUAACCAGUAGGCUGUGGGUUCAAAUCCCAUCUCCAGCACCA